UUUGUUAUGUCAUACGCAUCUCUUUUUUAUACUCAUUGUUAAUUUGUAAACCUCUUGUUAUUAAAAUGAUGUGGGACAAGAUCUGACUUGCUGCCGAGUUCACGACUCUGCAGCAAAUUAGCACAGACUAAAAAAUUAGGUUUUCUGCAACAUUAAAAUGAAUUCAUGAUUAUGUCUAACAUCCCAAAGUUAAUGCAUAGUAUACAUAGAACAAAAAUGCUACUCCGUAUGAUGGGUUGAGAAGUCUGUCGGUCAGCAUAUACCAUCUCAAACUCAGAAGGGAAAAAAGCAAAAAAAGGUUGAAGAAGUCUGUCAGACAACCGUAUGAACAUCCCAAACUCACACAUAGGAAGAAAGGGAACGGAUCCUCUACAGCACACACACAGAUCAGAAGAUCAGCUGGUAGCCGUUAAUCACGCUCAGAACAUACGGUCAUAAUUCAUCCACCAGACUUGGUUUUCUGUCUCCUUAGAACUCAAGAAUACAGAGGUGAGGAGAGCACUAUUGAUAAUACAUCAAAGAGAUGAAGUUGAGUACAAGAGAGAAAGGCGUGUAAUUGUUCGUAAAGCUUGAGAUCGAAGCACACCGUAUUCGAAAACCUGUUACUUCAGUGUUAUCUCCAAACUCACUUGUACCCUGCAAGUUGUAUAUUUCCAUCAUAUCAAAUAUAUGUUCUUUUGACCUUACACUUGGUGACCAGCAACCCAUAUUUGCAUUAUGUAUUUAAUUAUGUAACCUAGAAUUUAGGCUUCUGUUUGUGUAUGAUUAUGGUUCAUGGUUGGCAGUUAAUCGGUUGUUGGCUUGCUUGUGCUUAGCAGUUAGCAUGCAACACUAA